rnacentral:miRNA from 1 species
UUGGCCAAAAGGUUCGUUUGGGUUUUUCUGUACAAUGUUAUAGAAUAGUAUACAGAAAACGCAAAUGAACUUUUCAGCCAACCCA